rnacentral:rRNA from 1 species
UACGGGGGGGGGCAAGCGUUGUUCGGAAUUACUGGGCGUAAAGGGCGCGUAGGCGGCGCAACAAGUCACUUGUGAAAUCUCCGGGCUUAACCCGGAGCGGCCAAGUGAUACUGUCGUGCUAGAGUGCGGAAGGGGCUACUGGAAUUCUCGGUGUAGCGGUGAAAUGCGUAGAUAUCGAGAGGACACCUGCGGCGAAGGCGGGUAGCUGGGCCGACACUGACGCUGAGGCGCGAAAGCCAGGGGAGCGAACGGG